rnacentral:rRNA from 1 species
AUUGAACGCUGGCGGCAGGCCUAACACAUGCAAGUCGAACGUGUGGCGGACGGGUGAGUAAUGUCUGGGAAACGGCUCGAUGGAGGGGGAUACCUACUGGAAAGGGUAGCUAAUACCGCAUACCAUCGGAUGUGCCUAGAUGGGAUUAGCUAGUGGUUGGGGUAACGGCUCACCUAGGCGACGAUACCUAGCUGGUCUGAGAGGAUGACCAGCCACCCUGGAACUGAGACACGGUCCGGACUCCUACGGGAGGCGGCAGGGGGGAUUAUUGCAAAAUGGCCGCAGGCCUGAGGCAGCCAUGCCGCGUGUAGGAAGAAGGCCUUCGGGUUGUAAAUUACUUUCAGCGAGAAGGCGUUACUCGCAGAAGAAGCACCGGCUAACUCCGUGCCAGCAGCCGCGGUAAUUC